rnacentral:rRNA from 1 species
UACGUAGGGGGCUAGCGUUGUCCGGAUUUAUUGGGCGUAAAGAGCGUGUAGGCGGCCAGAUAGGUCUGGUGUGAAAACUCGAGGCUUAACCUCGAGAUGUCAUCGGAAACCAUCUGGCUAGAGUCCGGAAGAGGAGAGUGGAAUUCCUGGUGUAGCGGUGAAAUGCGCAGAUAUCAGGAAGAACACCAAUGGCGAAAGCAGCUCUCUGGGACGGUACUGACGCUGAGACGCGAAAGCGUGGGGAGCGAACAGG